rnacentral:rRNA from 1 species
UGAACGCUGGCGGCAUGCCUAACACAUGCAAGUCGAACGGAAACGAUGGAAGCUUGCUUCCAGGCGUCGAGUGGCGGACGGGUGAGUAAUACUUAGGAAUCUGCCCAUUAGUGGGGGACAACUCGAGGAAACUCGAGCUAAUACCGCAUACGCCCUACGGGGGAAAGCGGAGGACCUUUCGGGGCUUCGCGCUAAUGGAUGAGCCUAAGUCGGAUUAGCUUGUUGGUGAGGUAAAGGCUCACCAAGGCGACGAUCCGUAGCUGGUCUGAGAGGACGAUCAGCCACACUGGGACUGAGACACGGCCCAGACUCCUACGGGAGGCAGCAGUGGGGAAUAUUGGACAAUGGGGGCAACCCUGAUCCAGCAAUGCCGCGUGUGUGAAGAAGGCCUGCGGGUUGUAAAGCACUUUCAGUAGAGAAGAAAAGCCUAUGGUUAAUACCCGUGGGUCUUGACGUUACCUACAGAAGAAGCUCCGGCUAACUCC